rnacentral:rRNA from 1 species
UGGGGAAUAUUGGGCAAUGGGCGAAAGCCUGACCCAGUGACGCCGUGUGGGCGAUGAAGGCCUUCGGGUUGUAAAGCCCUGUGAGGUGGAAAGAAGGGCCUAGAGGUUAAUACCCUUUAGGCUUUGACGGUACCACCAGAGGAAGCACCGGCUAACUCCGUGCCAGCAGCCGCGGUAAUACGGAGGGUGCAAGCGUUGUUCGGAAUUACUGGGCGUAAAGGGCGCGUAGGUGGUUGUGUAAGUCAGCUGGGAAAUCCUUAGGCUUAACCUGAGAACUGCAUCUGAUACUGCAUGACGUGAGUACAGCAGAGGGAAACGGAAUUCCUGGUGUAGAGGUGAAAUUCGUAGAUAUCAGGAGGAACACCGGUGGCGAAGGCGGUUUCCUGGGCUGAUACUGACACUGAGGCGCGAAAGCGUGGGGAGCAAACA